CCAGGCAUGCUCGACUCUCUCUGAGAUGUAGACGGCGCUGCGAUGGCAUGCGCAAUCAGAAGCAGAAAAUAACUACGCUUGUCCCGAAUGUAUUGGUGUUCGAGAAAUCAUAUCAAACUGAAAUUAAAGGGUUAUGUUAUUAACACAGUUAUCCAAUGUCGUUGCAAUGUCUAGUCGAAAGAGAUCGCUAUACUCGGAGGACAGAGGGUACCGCAAAAGGCACAAUGAACCAAAACAAGAUGUGGAAAAACUCAAGAAACAAGCGACAAAAACUGAACCAAGAAGUGCAAAAGUGAAGACUUAUGAAAAACCUCCUGGAUUCAUUAAGGAAGACUACAAACCAGAGGACUGUAUUCCUGCUGAUCCAGGAAAUGAGGAUGCUAGAGACUUCCUGGUUCAGGCCCCCACCAAGGGGCUGUGGAUGCCUCAGGGGAAGGGGGUGAAAGUGAUGCAGUGAUCCAGCAGCUGCAGCAGCUCCUGCAGGAUGCUACCUCUUCCUCUGACAGCUCCUCCUCCACCAGUGAGAGCAAGAAGAGGAAACACAAGAAACAGAAAGAAAAUAAGAAAAAGAAACACCACAAGUUCUCCAAAACCAGUGACUGUUCUGAGUCUGACUGAGCUGUUGGAACCUACCUGGAUUGUUCUUGCAGGGAGAGGUGACGACACUACACUGCAGUGUCUGUCAGUCAGUGAGCGGCUACGGUGGUUCUUACCCAAUGGCUCAGUGUCGCUUCAAUGGUGCACUAUGAAGUGCACACUAGAUGACCCUCUGGUUCAGCCUUCCCCUCUGCCUUCCUUCCCUCCACCUUUAAAUAAUGCAUGACUUGUCCCAUCCCUCAUAUGGUUAAGGAGUUCAUUAGUCCUCGACUCCAUUAGAUCAUACCGAAUAGGAUCCUAUGGACGUGCAGUAGUGAUUGUGAAUGUAGGACCCCUCAGGAGAGGAACUCUACCAGCAUUGGUAAUGACAUGUUAUUUGUCACAUGCGCUGAAUAAAAUGGGUGUAGAACUUCCAGUGAAA